AAUUCUCUUCCCUCUUCUAAAGAAUCUACGUGUGAGUUCCUUAAUCAAGCCUUCCUAGUGCAGAGCCUUCUAUCAAGAAAAGAGAUCAGGAAUGAGCCUGCAGCAGUCUCCUCCACCCCACCCUACCCCCGUCCCCAAGGGGGGCGGGGGCGAUGAAGAGGAUAGCAAGCGGACAUCCAGAUGGGCGAAGCCGGAAGGUGCAACUGGGGUGUCUCGAUGAGGGCAAGCUGCCAUAUUGCCCACUAAACAAACUCAAAGGCUUCAUGAUGUCCUGUCCUGAGCAAGACGAGGAACAAGACGAGGGGCUGAAUCUCCAGCCGCUGAUCCCAGACAGUUACUUGGCACCUGUGAAUUUCAGCUUACAGGGACUUCAAGGACAUUAAGGUUAGAGAAGCCACCAGGCCUACCCUUCCCCACUCUCAACUAUUCCCAAAAGGAUUUGACAUGUGCCAUGCCUGGGGUUCUUCCUUAGCUCCGAGUACCAUCAGCUUUGCUGCAACUUCAGAGCACAUGCCCAGCAAUGUUCUCAACCAUCUUCAUGCGGGUCCUCUCCCUGGGGACUGUUCUCUGGAUAAGUGAGGACACUUCUCACACCCCAGGUGAUUUCCCAGACUGCAGAGGUAUUGCCAUUGUCUCUCCAGAGUUCUUGCUCUUCAAUUCCUGGUUCACCACACCGUGUGGCUUCCCUUUGCCCUUCUAGAAGUGCUUACCUACACCGAGCAUUUCAUUCUGGGGAUGAGGGAGGAAUUCCGUGCUCCAGAGAGUGGAUCCCUUUCUUCACCCUAAAUGCCAUUUCCCUGUCAAUGCAGUUUUUCUGCAUUUCACGUGUUUUCUAAGACACAACUACUUUGUACACAGCCUCUACUAGCCCCAACCUUUCUGUGACUUGGGUUCUGUCUCAUUUCAUAUAAAGAUCUAAGUACAGGGGCCUGGGGAGAUGGGUUAAGAGCACUUGCUGCUCUUCCAGUAGACCUGGUUCAGUUUGCAGCACCCACAUUGCAGCUCACAACUGUGUAUAACUCCAGGAUCCGACCUUUCAGGAUCUGACACCCUCACACAGACACGCAGACAAAGCAACAGUGCACAUAAAAUCAAUACAUCUUUAAAGAUGCAUUAAAAUAUUUAAGAACGGGACCACAACCUUUGCCAGGAAAUUCUUGGCAGCUCAGAUUUCUCCAUCCUGCCUUGGUCUCCUCUGGUGAGCUCUGUCUCUGUAAACAGGGCUGUAAUCAUGGUGUCCCUCCAAUGCCCUCUACACAGCUUAAGCCUCUAGCAGGCCAGACUGCCCCUGACUCACUUACUGUCUGGACUAUAUGAGUCCAUUCUCCAUCUCAAGAGCUCUAGAGGACAUGACAUGGAGCACAGCUUUGCCUGAAAGGCAGAGUGCUCUGAAGUGUUAAAUGCCAUGGAUAGGGGCUGGAGAGGCAGUGCAGCAGCUACAAGCACUUGUUGCUCUUGAAGAGGACCAGGCUUCAGUUAUCAGCACCCACAUGGUGCUCAUAAUCACCCAUAACUCUAGUUCCAGGGGAACCCAGCACCUUCUCCUGACCUUGUCAGGCACCAGGCCCUAGUGUGGUGUGCAUGUACACAUGAAGGCAAAACACUUAUACACAUAAAAUAAAAUGAAUAAAUCUUAAAAAAAAAAAGUGUCAUAGAAAAUGCAGUGGGUGAUGGUGCAUUAGCCCUAGUACUCAGGAGGUAGAGGCAGGUGAGUUUAAGGUCAGCCUGAUAUCAGAGCUAGUUCUAGGACAGGCAAAGCUACACAGAAAAACCCUAUGUCACAAAACAAAAACAAAUAAAACGGCAUAGAAAAAAAGAAGGCCAUUAGACAGAGGGAACAAGUAAAGCCCGUGCAUGAGGCACAGUGAUUUCUCUCCCUGCUCCCGGCCUCACCACACCUUCUAUCUAACAAAUAUCUGAUGGAGGCUUUUCAAGUUUU
ensembl:processed_transcript Gm16582 predicted gene 16582